CUCUCUCGCAGAGCUCACAACACGAGGAAGAUUAGUGGAUCGCGAGUGCCUUCUCUCUUGAUUCUUGCUCCUCCCAAACCCUGAAAGGGUUUCUCUGCAACGAAGCCGUACAUGGUAGAACGGCUCUUCCGAAGCGGCCGUCGGUGAAUAAUCCGAGCUUUAAGGUUGUCGUUGUUGGCAAUGGCGGUACUGCUACUAUUGGCGUGGAAGUUGGCCCUCUGACCUUCUUCACAAACUGUGGGAAGAUCAGGUUUAACUGCUUGGACACUGCUGGUCAAGAAAAGUUUGGUGGCCUCUGAGAUGGUUACUAGUACGCACUUUUUCCUUUCCGUGUUGAAUUUUAAGAUAUGUUCUGUGUUGUUCCAUGUAUAUAAUGUGGUUUCUUUGUGUUUUUCUGCUUGGUAAUAAUCCCAUUUGGACACUUUUUGUGCUAGAUGUGGUGGAAGCAAUUGUCUCUAAUAUAAUAAAAUGAAUCAGUUCAAAUGAUUUACACCACUUUGUUGAAAUGGACACUUGCAAACUCCCUUUUUACAUCCAUGACUAUUACUGGUUUCAUCAGGUGCUCUUUCUGGAUCAUCAUAAAGCUGGUUCUAUGGAAAAGGAACAAAGAAAAGUUGGUCACUUCACUGGCAAUAUCACUAGAUUGCUUUAUACCCUUGAAGAUUUCUUGUCUGGCAUAUUUUUGGCAUUUUUUCUGCUUCCAGUUCAUCUAGUUAAUCAUGGGAUUCAUUU